rnacentral:tRNA from 1 species
GGCUUCGUAGCUCAGCGGUUAGAGCGAACGACUCAUAAUCGUUAGGUCGUCGGUUCGAAUCCGACCGAAGCCACCA